AAAGUACUCCCUCCGUCCCAGAAUUCUUGUCUUAGAUUUGUCUAGAUACGGUUGUACCAAGUCACAUUUUAGUAUUAGAUACAUCCAUAUCUAGACAAAUCUAAGACAAGAAAUUUGGGACAGAGGGAGUAGUUG
rfam:Triticum aestivum genome assembly, contig: Triticum_aestivum_CS42_TGACv1_scaffold_094870_2AL